rnacentral:rRNA from 1 species
UACGGAGGGUGCGAGCGUUGUUCGGAAUUAUUGGGCGUAAAGCGCGUGUAGGCGGUUUUUUAAGUCUGAUGUGAAAGCCCCGGGCUCAACCUGGGAAGUGCAUUGGAAACUGGGAGACUUGAAUACGGGAGAGGGCAGUGGAAUUCCUGGUGUAGGAGUGAAAUCCGUAGAUAUCAGGAGGAACACCGGUGGCGAAGGCGGCUGCCUGGACCGAUAUUGACGCUGAGACGCGAAAGCGUGGGGAGCAAACAGG